CUUGUUUGUUCAUCAUCGUUCAAAAUCUCCUUAAAAGUAACCUGCAGAUAUUGAGCUGACAGCUGUAUGCAGAAGAAGCAAAACAUUGAGAAACAAACAGCGAUAAUUUCAGAUUUCAGGAAGCCAGCGAAACUGAUACUUCUCAAGAAAGUUCAUUCAUGGGAUGAGGACAUCAUUGACCAGCCGACUUUACUGUCCAUCCUUAAUUGCCCAGAAGGCAUUUAAGAGGCUACCGCAUUGCUGUAGGCCUGGAGUCAUAUGUAGGCCAGACCAGAGGUCAACUAGCCAACAAGCCAGUCAGAAGGAAAUAGGACAAGAAGGAGUCUCUUGUUUUGAGUACUGCUAGCCAGCCACCAUAACUGGAAAUAGGACAAAGGAAUUUCAACUAACUGCAAAGCAACCAAGUUACUGACUGAACCCAACCAGCCCAAAUUUGCAAAAUGGACAACAUUAGGUGUGAUUCUGUGAUUGGGCAACAUUUCGCAAAUACUUCUGAAUGCUGAAGAAUUAUGCUGACAAGUCUGACCAAUGAAAAUUAACCUGCCUGGUUUAAAAUUUAAACAAACUUGGCAGUUAUCUGUCAAUCAUCAUUAAUGUGUGCUUACCACAUGCCAGCAAUGGGGUCUACUUGCCAACUAAUCAAUACUAUUAGUUUAUACAGUGGAGAUACUUUUUUUCCCUUCAGAAUGGUAUUUCUUGACAAUUGUCUGAU